GCGAGGAUGGUGGAACUGGAAGACACGCAAGGUUGAGGGCCUUGUGGGCGAAAGCCUAUGGGGGUUCAAGUCCCCCUCCUCGCA
rnacentral:tRNA from 1 species